UGACGACAAAUUAUGUGUUCUAACAAAUUAAAGUUUCUAAACAUGUACGAUAUUCAGCUCAUCCAAAAAGAGAAAGAAAUGUUAAAUUUAGCAUAUUCUUCCAUUUCACAAAUCUGAUAUUGGGUGUGGCGAUAUCGCUCCCUCUUAGCUUGUUGAUUGAGUUCUUGAACUUCACCCAGGUUUCCUUCAUGCAUUUCAACUACAUGUGUCUUCGAUGCCAUCACGGUUUCCUGGAACAUACAUAGAGAGAUGAGAAGAACCUGGUUAUGUAUAUCAAUCCAACAAGAAAAAGAAGAAUGGAACUAAAAUCAUUUAUUUUUAAAUACUCUCUAUGUUAAAAAAUAUAUGAGAACGAAUAAAAUCCAAACGGACUGGAGGUUAUGGGAACAUAUUGAAAUACAGAAAACGUUUAUUCUGGCCGGCAACACUACCAAACGGUAAAUGAUUUAAACUGUACCUAGCACAAGAGUCAAUUUUUUAGGACAAACAGGUAUGUUGGAGUUUAUCUUAUCAGCUGAAAGUCCUGGAAAAGAUUCUACCUGUAAAAUAAAUUCAAACCUUUUCUUUCACGGCUGGCAUAUAGAGUUACCCUAAAUGUAAAAUUUCUCUCUUCAAGAACUGAUAUAUAGUUUAUGAACUAAUUAUUACAUAAAACUCAAAACUGUAUCUGAUUUUCCAGUACCCUAUCUUUUUAUUCAAUUUUCUACUUAUUUUAAGCGUACUUUUUGCUAAGUUAAUGGCUAAUAAAUAAGAUUAUUGCCUAGAGUUCAACAAGAUAUUUUCAAAAUAAAGCUAAAGAAGAGGAAGUUUUUUAUUGGAC
rnacentral:lncRNA from 1 species